CAAAUUUCAAAUUCAAAAUUAAGUCUUUUUUUGACCUCAAAUUAACUUUGGGAUGUUACAGAGGUCCCCUACAACAGUCAAAAGAGAUAAUAAACAGGCUUAUUUUAUACGUAAAAUUACAUGAGAAACAGUGUCAAAUAAGAAGUGAUGUUUAAACUCCAUCGAGUUAUAUUUUUAUAAAUAUUAAUAUAUAUUCCAAAAUUGUAUAAGAUUAUGAAAAUUCUCAUGUAUCUCAGUAUAUGUUAUCAGACAUAAUUAUGGUUAUUACGUUAAACUAUUGUAGGCCACAGAAAUAACCAAAUUUCCUUCUCAAUUGUGUCUUUAUGACCAUUUAAAGUCAUUUCCACAGUUAAUUACUUAAUUCUAAAGCAGUUUCUAAUAUUAGGUUGGUGCAAAAGUAAUUGCGGUUUCUGCUGUUCAAAGUAAUGGCGGCUGGGCGCAGUGGUUCACGCCUGUAAUCCUAGCAUUUUGGGAGGCUGAGGUGGGCAGAUCACAAGGUCAGGAGUUCGAGACCAGCCUGGCCAACAUGAUGAAACCCCAUCUCAACUAAAAAUACAAAAAAUUAGCCAGGCAUGGUGGCACACACCUGUAAUACCAGCUACUCGAGAGGCUGAGGCAGGAGAACUGCUUGACCCUGGGAGGCAGAGGUUGUAAUGAGCCGAGAUUGUGCCACUGCAUUCCAGCCUGGGUGACAGAACGAGACUCCGUCUCUAAAUAAAUAAAUAAAUAAAUAAAGUAAUGGCAGGCUGGGUGCAAGUGGCUCACCCCUGUAAUCCCAGCACUUUGGGAGGCCAAGGUUGGUAGACCACUUGAGGUCAGGAGUUCGAGACUAGUCUGGCCAACAAGGUGAAACCCAUCUCUACUAAAAAUACAAAAAAAUUAGCAAGGCAUGGUGGCAUGCGCCUGUAGUCCCAGCUACUCGGGAAUCUGAGGCAGGAGAAUAGUUUCAACCAGGAAGGAGGAGGUUGCAGUGAGCCGAGAUAGCACCACUGCACUCCAGCUUGGAUGACAGAGCGAGAUUCCGUCUCAAUAAAUAAAUAAAUAAAUAAAUAAAUGUAUGGCAGUUAUUAAAAAUAACUUCACAAGCAAAUAAAAUCCUAUUUUGUCUUCAAGGAGGUUAAUGGAAAAGAUGAAAUGGACCUUGGUAAGCACUCCUGAAGAUAGGUUUCUGGUAACUUUAGGAUCAUAUCGUUUGGACUGAGUAAGAAUUACCAGAACCAUAUUGAAGAGACAGAGUGAUAUAUAAAACUGCUAACUCAAGCAGCACAAGAAUUAAAUGAAUACCAAGAAAAUACUUGGCCAGAUUUUCAUGCUAACUCAGUCAGUACUGAAACUAUUAAGAUACAUAAUUUGAAUGAACUCCAUGGUCCAGGUCAAACUACCUAUGAUAACCCAUCUAAUAAACAGUGCUGUGCACCUCCAUUGGAGAAAGAAAAUUGCUAUGUAAGAGGAUACAAUUCCAGUGUUAAGCAUGGACUCAUGGAGAGAGACUGGACAGCCGGCUGCCUGCUCCUUCCUGAGUCCUUAAAAAUUCCAUUACUAGAAGCUGUAUUCCAUGAUUCAUCAAGGAAGAGAUAAAAUGUAUAUACUGGCCGGGCAUGGUGGCUCACACCUGUAAUCCCAGCACUUUGGGAGGCCAAGGUGGGCUGAUCACCUGAGGUCAGGAGUUUUAGACCACCUGGGCCAACACGGUGAAAGCCUGUCUCUACUUAAAAAAUACAAAAAAUUAGCUGGGUGUGGUGGCAGGUACUUGCAAUCCCAGCUACUUGGGAGGCUGAGGCACAAGAAUUGCUUGAACCCGGGAGGUGGAAGUUGCAGUGAGCCGAGAUCGCACCACUGCACUCUAGCCUGGGUGACAGAGUGAGACUAUGUCUCAAAACAAACAAACAAACAAACAAACACCUUACAUAUAUAUUGGUGUUGUGACUGUUCUAAAUUGCUAAAAUGGUUUAUGACCAAUGUAUAGUUUGUCAAACCCAUAAUCUUGAGAAGACAACCAAAACUUCAGGUACCUUUCUGCUACAUCUGAACACUUUACAGAGGGAUUUCAUUCAAUUGUGAUUUUCAGUGCAUAUUUUCUGGUUGUACAGGAGCUUUCUCAUACAAGUGGGCUGAUGCUAUAACAGCAGCUAAAAGGUUAUUAGGAAAUGUGUUUCUCUCAUAGAACAUUGCUGAAGAAAUCUCCAGUGAUAGAGAUACUUGCCUCACUGGACUGGCUGUAAAACAGUUAAAUAAGGUAUUACAGAUAUAAGAGCAUUAGGCAAAACUAACUGAAUAAUCUGGAUUGCCUUGGUCAAAGAUGUUUCAGAUUGAUGACAAACAGAUCCACUUCCAUGGGAAAACAAAAGUUGAACCCUUAUGAAAUAGUCACUGGAAGGCUUAUGCUCCUAAUAACAGAACCUUCUGUAUCUUAUGCUCCUAAACCUUAACGUGACUAAAUGCUGCAAGGCUGUAAUGUAUUAUGCCAAAGUGUAUUUUCACCAGGUAAAGAAAGCUUUUCAUGGACCACUGACUCAGGACAAGCAAACCCUUCAUGAUAUAGAAUUCAGAGGCUGGAUCUUUUGGAAACACAUCAGAGAAAGACUCCCCUUGUCACCCACACUGCAGCGAAACUUCAGGACCCUGAAGCUUGGGUUUGUAAUCUCACAACUUAGAAAGGCCCACCCAGACUCUUGGAACCACACACCCAUCAGAGGGAGAACUUAAGGUAAAGCUAAUGAGGUCUAAUCAAUGGUGCUCUAACUACAGAACAGCGAAUCUUAACCUGGGGACCAUGGGUCAUGAAUGGACUGCAGAAAUUCUGUGACCUCCUGGUGGAGGUUCCAGUUUACUAAAUGGAAACAUUUCUUCUGAGAGGAUCUGUUCCCUGGAUCUACUUAAAAAGCUCAGGGUUAAAUGAGAAGGACCUAACCCUUCUCAUAUAGCCCACCAAGGCUUGUAUCAAGAACAUUAGAUUACUUCCAUGAUUGCUUUUAAUUCUGACAGUCCAUGAAAUGGUCAUAAGGUAUGGGUUGAUAAGGACAUGGUUCUCUAGUAUUACAGUUCACCCUAAUAUGUUUUAAAUUCUCAUUUCUAAGGUUAAGUACUAACCAAUCUGCUAAUUUCCUCUUGUCUAUCUGGUGCAGAUCUUGCUGUUGCCUUGAUCAUAGUGGAAGUCUGAUUGUCUGUUAGCUUCUUGAUACAUCGUUGCCCUGCCACAAUAUUACAGACCUACAAAUGGAAAAAAGUUUUGUACUACAUGUAUAUAUCUUUUUUUUUUAGCUCUUACUUAGUGCCAAUUACAUGUAAAUAAAAAUUUAAAAUCAA